CCGAGAAUAGCUCAGUUGGUAGAGCGGGAGACUGUAGUGGUAACCUGUCAUCUCUAGGUCCCUGGUUCAAAUCCGGGUUCUCGGA